rnacentral:rRNA from 1 species
UACAGAGGGUGCAAGCGUUGUUCGGAAUUACUGGGCGUAAAGCGUGCGCAGGCGGUUCGUUGUGUCGGCGGUGAAAGCCCCGGGCUCAACCUGGGAAUGGCCGUUGAAACUGGCGAACUGGAGUGUGGCAGAGGGGGGUGGAAUUCCGCGUGUAGCAGUGAAAUGCGUAGAGAUGCGGAGGAACACCGAUGGCGAAGGCAGCCCCCUGGGCUGACACUGACGCUCAGGCACGAAAGCGUGGGGAGCAAACAGG